AUUGAACGCUGGCGGCAGGCCUAACACAUGCAAGUCGAGCGAGCGGCGGACGGGUGAGUAAUGUCUGGGAAACUGCCUGAUGGAGGGGGAUAACUACUGGAAACGGUAGCUAAUACCGCAUACCAUCAGAUGUGCCCAGAUGGGAUUAGCUAGUAGGUGGGGUAACGGCUCACCUAGGCGACGAUCCCUAGCUGGUCUGAGAGGAUGACCAGCCACACUGGAACUGAGACACGGUCCAGACUCCUACGGGAGGCAGCAGUGGGGAAUAUUGCACAAUGGGCGCAAGCCUGAUGCAGCCAUGCCGCGUGUGUGAAGAAGGCCUUCGGGUUGUAAAGCACUUUCAGCGGGGAGGCGUUACCCGCAGAAGAAGCACCGGCUAACUCCGUGCCAGCAGCCGCGGUAAUAC
rnacentral:rRNA from 1 species